UAGCAUGCAAGUCGUCGGCUGAUGCAGCACGCCGCGUGAGCUGAAGAAGGCCUUCGGGUUGUAAGCUCUGCUGCCUCCGGAAGGGGGCCCUGUCAGGAAUUGGGCGGGGUUUGACGGUACCCGGAGAAGAAGCCCCGGCUAACUACGUGCCAGCAGCCGCGGUAAUAGA
rnacentral:rRNA from 1 species